UUCCUGGUGGCUCAGACGGUAAAGCAUCUGCCUGCAAUGCAGGAGACCCGGGUUCGAUCCCUGGGUUGGGAA
rnacentral:tRNA from 1 species